UACGAAGGGGGCUAGCGUUGUUCGGAAUUACUGGGCGUAAAGCGCACGUAGGCGGAUAUUUAAGUCAGGGGUGAAAUCCCAGAGCUCAACUCUGGAACUGCCUUUGAUACUGGGUAUCUUGAGUAUGGAAGAGGUAAGUGGAAUUGCGAGUGUAGAGGUGAAAUUCGUAGAUAUUCGCAGGAACACCAGUGGCGAAGGCGGCUUACUGGUCCAUAACUGACGCUGAGGUGCGAAAGCGUCGGGAGCAACAGG
rnacentral:rRNA from 1 species